UCUGGAUCAAUGAUGUUACUGAUAUUCUGCGUUAUCUAUCUGCAAAUUGUUUGAAUUGAAGAUAACUGUAACAUGCUGAGAUCCUUC